ensembl:lncRNA
AUGCUCAACCUUAUUCUCCACCGCCCACCUUUUGACCUGAAACCUCAAACUCCCCCAAAUAAAUUCUUACCCGCCCACCUAACCCCCCCUCGGUCCUGUUCGGUCCUGUCCCGUAAACCUAACCUCACCUUCUCCCCCUGAACUCACCUCUUCCCCUCCCUCCGACCCACCAAACUCUCCCCCCCUCCCCCUCCUGCCCCGCCAGCUGUAACCCCGAGCUUACCUUUAAACGCGGUUAGCCCCGCCCCUCUCGACCCCUGAACACACCUCAGCUCGCCCAGUGUGGCCCCCUCUCCCGUUUGAACUCGCCCAUAACGUCCCACUGAACUUCAACACUUGUGUCUUUUCUCCCACACGUCCCACAGCAGACGGCAGAAGUAGCUCCACUUGGAAUAUCUACUUAAAUGCUGGUGUUCAUUCAUAUUGAGAGAAUUCCCCAUAAAAGGCCUUUGAUCUCAUCGUCCCGUUUUUCUCCUUCCUUGUAAACAGAAACGUCGUUGGAGGGUCAGACGCUCGUUAGACAUCCGUCGGGUUUCUCUCGAAAUCCACAUUCUCACAUUCUGAGGUUAUAACAUUCACAGCUGAGAGGCCUUAUGGAUUCGUCCAAUGCUGAAGCGCGCGCACACGCACACACACACACACACACACACACACACAGGGCAGCUCGUGUUUUCUGGUUGACCUUCGCCUCGCUCUUCUGUGCUCUCACCUCGUAAUUUAGCGCUUAUUUUCACAUUGCACGCACACAGGUAGAGAAACACAAACUCUCUGCAAACCACCGAUACAGACAUCCAGGGGGCCGGUCUCACCUCGACGGGUUAUCUCUCUCUUCUAGCCCCCCCCCCCACACACACACAGUGUGCGCUGACCCCGGAGCAGCUCAUUGAAGUCCCAAUAAAACACGGAGGAAUCGUCGGCACGCAACUUGACAUUCUAGUGGUUUGUUUGGAUAACCUCACACACACACACACACACACACACACACACACACGCACACACACACACUCGUUCUGCAGCACACAGUAUUUUACAUUUACGACUCUCCAGAUCCUGAGAGACCCCACUGCCUCGCUCGGCCUUCGGCGCUGCCCUCUGGUCCACCCCGCCACACACACACACAAACACACACACACGCGCACACAUACACACACACACUCUCUUUCCCAGCAAUUAUCUUCAAACUAAACACUGGCUCAGAAGCGGUAACAACAGAGCAGAGCUAUUGUGAGCACCGUACUUUUUUUGUCAGGUUGUUGCUACACUGACAUUUUUUAGGACUUUACGUCCACGGGAGACCAAUGAAUGGAAAGUGCUAAAUAUUCGCCUUCAAAUACACAAUAUCGAUUAAACGCAGGCAUACUUCGUUAUGACUUGACAAACGAUUCACUUACCUUCAGAAAUAUUCCUUUAUAAAACACAACUCUUAAUGGGACUCGGAGGCCUGUUCAGUCUCUGCACAACAAAUGUUAUGUUCUCAUAACUCUGGACGGACAUUUCGCUUUUUUUAAAUCAAAAUCUUGUGUUCGGCUUCUCCUUCGGAGUUUGGAAGUGGUUUGAAGUCGGGUUGUUGAAUAGAAGUCAAUGGCCGUAAAAUGUGCAGUCCUCCUCUUGAUGUAUAAAUCACACCGGUAACGAUAUUCCUAAAUGUUCCUCCUUAAUUGCUGUUUGCACAUGCACACGUGUGUGUUUGUGCUCUACUUUAGACAACUAAAGGCUGCACGCACUAUUUUGUUGGCCUGUGUGUGUGUGUCUGUGUGUGUACUCCUGUUCCCCCUGCUGUGUGUUCCAGGUCUGUACUUAUGAGUCUCUCCCUGAGAACUAAAUCUUCUAUAACUUUCACCUCAACAUGACCUUCGAUUUAAGUGUGUGAGUGUGUAAACGGCGUAAUCAUUACCUCACCCUGACCUGUGUGUGUGUGUGUGUGUGUGUGUGUGCGCGCUUUUUAUGUCACCUAAUCCUGACCUCGACCUCUUGACAACACUCUCUUUCACGAUAUAAAACACUGUAAUGGUGGCGUUUUUCACUUCAAAAGGCGCACACUGAGGUUUCGGGGGAAACACAUCAGUCAUUUUACGCGUUCAGGUUAUGAGAACGCAGACACCAAAAUCAUCCGCGUGCACCUCGUACAUCAUCCCGUGCACUUCAACGUGGACCAGGGCCCCUCUAAAGUCUGUCAUUUGAAGGCACCAGGAGUUUCAGGACCUCAGAUCGUGUAACGCUGAUACUUUUGGGUCAAUAAAUAUGUCGCAUAGAUUUGUAUCUGUCUUAUAGAUUUAAGGGGAGCAAAUUCAGCAGUGGUUCUGCCACAAGCGCCAAUUAAGGGGGUUGUGGUCGAUGUCAGAAGCCUGUGUAACGUCAGCACACGAGUCCAAAGGUGGGAUUCUUAUUUAGGAUCAGCUUCCACUAAAUGGCACCAUGAGAUGAGAAGGUCAGGUGAGUGGGUCGCAGGGGGGUGAGGGAGUGACCCACCCACUCGCGUUGGGGGAAUGAGUGGGUAACCGGGCGGCUAGAUGGGUGGGUAUGAGUGCAGUUGGGUAGUUGGGUAUGUGCGCGGUUGGGUAAGUGGGUGGGAUGUGAGUAGAAGAAGGUACAUAUUAUUUUAUUUCUAGGUCACUAUUUCCUAAUGUUUAACUGCUGUAUUUAGACAGAAAAUGUAACAAAGUAUAACCAGAAGUGAGACCCAACAACAGUUUCCACACAAAGGCAGUUCUUUAAAUAUGUAUUUUUGUGUUAUGAUGAAACACACUCUUCUUUUUGGAGGCCAACUCCUUUCAGCUCCGCAUAACGUGGCGAAUCCUCAUUUGUGGUUUCAUGCAGACAACGCGGCUGCCAUCGCAGAAUAAAGCCUUGACAUGAUAACGCUUCCAGCUAAAACACAGCGAAACCACGGACAUCUGUGAGGAGAGUCGCCCGUCAGUCCCUGAGAACACGUGCAGCGGCGCGCACAAAGGAGAGGACUUCACCUUCGGCCUCCCACCGCGUGAGGAAACGUCCCGCUCGCCCUCGACCGGCGCCGUGGUUAGUGUUACUGUCUCCUCUGCCGGAGUUCAGCGGCGGACGGUCCGACCGCAGACGAUUCGCAGACGCGUUCACCGCCACCUUCCCCCCCGACUGUCCUCGCCUCCUUGUUCCGCUGCUGGAAAGCACGAGGUGCCCGUUUAAGCCCCCCAAAAUCCUCUCGGCCCGGCGGGUCUUUUGCUUCUGGAAUGCGCAGCACUGAGAAUGUAUUUGAAGCGGGACGAAUUUCCCUCGAGCGGUGAAAAAGAUGUGUUUGAAGGUCGGGUUGGAGGUCGGGUUGGAGGACGGGUUGGAGGUCGGGUACGAGGACGGGUCGGAGGACGGGUCGGAGGACAAGUUGGGGGUCGGGUUGGAGGACGGGUUGGAGGACGGGUUGGAGGACGAGUUGGAGGACGGGUUGGAGGACGGGUUGGGGGUCGGGUUGGAGGUCCGGUUGGAGGACGGUUACGAGGACGGUUACGAGGACGGGUUGGAGGUCGGGUACGAGGACGGGUUGGAGGUUGGGUACGAGGACGGGUUGGAGGUCGGGUACGAGGACGGGUUGGAGGUCGUGUUGGAGGUCGUGUUGGAGGUCGGGUUGGAGGUCGGGUUGGAGGACGGGUUGGAGGACGGGUUGGAGGACGGGUUGGAGGACGCGUGGAGUCGGUUCGGGCGUCGCUCGUCGAGGCCUCGCUGCCAGAUCUUACGGCAGGAUUAUGACGUCUCGUAAAUACUUCGACACAAAGCGGCCACGCAAUGAAAUACGCGGGCCGCCGUGUGCGAUCCAGCACGCCGUCCUCCCUGAAGGUCCAUUUCAUAUUCAUAAAUAAUGACGAAAAGUCCGACGCAAGAGAAAAUAACGUUGUCCUCGUACAGGGCCUUUAUUUCAAUAAUCCACACAUUCCGACAGGCUUCCCCUCCCGAACCACCUCUGUAAGCGUUUUAUCAUCACCACCACAUCUGGGGUGGGCAUUCGUCAAGGACAGAAACAUUGCGUCUUUACCUAAACAAGUACAACAAUUUAUAGCUUUCUAACUUUUAAAAUAGCACGCCGUGAAAGUUUUUACUGCUACUGACGUUGUAGUGAGGUUUGGACACACUCUGAUCUCAUCAAACAUGACUUCAGGGACGUUAAAUCAGCCCGUUUUAUCUCCGAGAGGAAGCCUUGACGUUUUUUACAAUGGGGAUUUACAGCUAACAAUAACUUCCUGCUGGGGACUCAAAGACUACAAAUAGAUGCAACAUUCAUAAAACGUUAUUUCUAUUGACAUUCUCAGGCAAUUAGAAGGGAUUGUAAUGAGCAACAUUUACAUGUGUGGAGGAAAAAGGCCUUUAAUGUUUAAUGGGUUUCAUCUUGAGCACAUAUAGUAUAUCAUGUGUUCAUACGUUUGGAUAAUUAACUGAUACCUAAUACAUGUUGAUGCAUAUUGCAAUGACUUUAUUUAAGAUGCUUUGUACUUUAUUUGGGAUAUUUUACUAAAUUUCUUUGGAUAUUUUAGUGAAUUUGCACAGAAUGUCACCAAAUAGCUUUUUACUGUCUUUUACUGUUUUCUUUUAGUGUAGGGUCUUACUAACAAUUUCCAGAUAUUUUUUGGGGGGCUACAUUUUCAGAGUGAUUGAAUUAGUUCCAACGAUGUCGUAAAAGUGAAUCCCGUAUAAACGUCAACCCCGCGCCGCCGUAACUGAUGUAGUGCCCCUGUGUUUAAAGACGGAGGCUCAGCCAAUCGGCUGCCUGCUUCAGAAUCACGGCCAACGUGGCGUCCAGCUGAAAUUAAAAAGAGCCGAGCCGCGGCCGCUCGCUCACUUCAACGGUUGUUGUUCCUCAAGCGGCAAAAAACAACAAACAAAAAAAAAGCAUCAUUCAUGGUUUUCAGAGGCAUCUCCGGCAAAUCCGGCCCACCUGUGUUUCCUUGACACGAGAGCUGUGUGUGUGUUUGUGUGUAAAUGCGUGUGUGUGUGCGUGAUUGGUUAUUAUGUUAUUUUGUCAACAGAACAGUUUUUAACAAGCACGUGGGCAUGAGCACCAAAUAGGUGAAUACAAAAAACAAAAAAAAGGAAUUACACUAUAAACACCAGCAGGAACGAGUGGGUCAGGGUUUAUGUGUGUGUGUGUGUGUUCCUGUGCGUGUUUGUGUGUGCUCUAUAAAGCGAUAGCGGAAUGUGCUCUCACUCUUUAAUGAGGUUCAUCAAAAACAGUCAGGCGUCAAGAAAUGAGCCUCUUCACACGCAACGAGGGACGGGGGGGACGGGGGGGAGGGCUCUAUCUCACACAUGGGAAGUAACGAACGGUCAAUAAACAGACCGCCGCGUUGGUCAGUUUAAAAACCUCAUUACACCAGCAAGGAAGAUCAGGUUUUUGGGGCCUUUUCUUGGCUCCAAAAGCAGACAUGCAGCACGAAUACAGGCGUCAAAUAGAAGGUGUGUGCAGCAUCCUCACGUCGGAUAGAGUCACGUGACCCGGUGGUGGGAAAGAGUAAUGCAGCCUCAAAGAAAAGACGCUUUGAAAAUGUGCAUUUCCAACGCGUUGGCACCGCCCGCGGAGGCCCCCGGUGAUACAAAACCAAGCGGGUGCGAAUGUUUUUGCCCAGAACGAAACCGGGAGGAACGCGCAGGGAGCCAGUGGAGGGAGAAAGUGACAAUAUGAGAGAUUUAAGGCGAGUUGGGACAAGAAAAAGAGGCUGAUUUACUGGAACAAAAAGAAGCGAUCAAGGAGAAAGAAGACGCAGUGAAGAUUUGUGAUUGAGCUUUUCUCUCCAAAUCUGAAAAAGUUCUCCGUCUUGGUUCCCCAUGAUGACGCUAAAUCUCAAAGCCCACAUUGUACCGCCUGCAUGCGGUUGUGUGUGUGUGUGUGUGUGUGUGUAUAUAAAUCAACAGCAUGUUUUCUUUCACUCUGCUCCAGUGGAAUAUUUUUUUAAUGAGUUGUUUUAUUCCCGACUCCCGACCGUCACAUGAACGCUGACGCACCGUCGGAGACAAGCGUAUGAAACGGGGGGACGGAGGACUUAUAGAGGCCGAGGGACACACACACACACACACACACACACAGAUCAACUCCUGCUUUGAUCGGCCGUAUACUUGUGUUUUAUUUUAUAAAAGUUCUCUUCUCUGUUGCACGGAUCCAAAAUGCAACAAACACACACACACACACACACAAAAUGUGCUGGCAGGGGAAAAAUGUUUGAUGUCGAAAUACAGUUUGUAAUCUGCACCAAACAUUCUCGGAAAGGACGUUUUGUACAUGUGUCUGAACAUAUACACGAGAAGAGAAAAACAACCGAAGGCGCGCCAAAACAUCCAGGUCUUCACAACAGCUUCAGAGAUACUUCACAGGUUGUGACCUCAUUCGCCUUCCUAUCAGCCCUCUUAUCUAUGUGUGUGUGUGUGUGGUGUCGUGUCAGAUAGGAUGUCUGAUCUUUUAUCGCUCUGGCUGCAGAAUCACCUGCCAGAUGAACCGGCGGGUUCAGCCUGCGAGAGCUUCGGGGCCUCGACAUCCCCGGGACGGCCGGAGGCCGCGGCGAGACAACACGAGGAUGCAGAUUAAACGUCAGCGCGAACCGCUUACGAAAAACAGUCCGGAGCGUUUGUGCGGUCCUGCUCCUGAAAUAUUUUGCCGUUAUUUCUUCUCUCAGUUUGGCGCAUUGAGGCAACGAAACUCUCUUGAACGCCGGCGGCGCUGAAUGUCAAACGUCACAGGAGAGAUUGUCUCGUUUUGUAAAGCAGAAAUGAAGAAUUCUGGGGAAUUUUAUCUCGCAAUAAUCUCUGGAAAACAAAUUUCAUUUCAAACUACAAAACUACAACAACAAUCAGACACUUCUCUGCCCCAAAGUAGCUAAAUAAAUUCACCUUUUCACCAUUUGAAUGAAUACUGGAGCCAGUGGGAAACCACAACUUCCCAGAGUCAGCCAACGAGGUCCAACAUUAAAACCUGUGAGCUUUUAGAGGGCUGCUCGGCCUAUUCUGUACAGUCGUUUUCUUCAUUUUCCCCUCUGAAUGCUAAGCUACGCUAAUGGUCUUGUGGCCCUCGCUUCGUACAGACUCGAGAGUGGCAUCAAUCUUCUCAUUAGCUCUUGGCAUGAAAGCGGACAACGUGCGUUUCCCAUGUUGAACAAUGGCUUUGACAAAAUAAAUAAAGGGUCACAUUCCGCGGAUCAAACGAUGCCUCGCUGCAGCGACGAGCUGAUUGGAUUUGCCACGAGGUCUUUUUCAGGUUGUCAAGGCACCGCAAGCAUCUUUGAGUUUGGCACCCGGGUGGAUUUACCAGAAGUUACACAGUCAUCAUGUCUGCAGAUCCACCGAGGAAACCAAACGCCUGUCGGGACCUCACCACUUCUUUGUGUCCCUCCCUGAUUCAAUCAGCUUUGUUGGAUGCAGAUUUCUCGGACUGAUACAAGUGGGCGCAAUAUUUACUUUUCUUACACAGUAAACAUCUUUCUAUUUAGUCUACCAGGUCGCUGAUGUGUUUGAGCCAAACUUUGUUAGUGUGAGGUUGGUCCUGGCUGGAGGUUUAUUUUAGGGCAACAUUUGUGUGUUUUUUCGGAUGUGGAUCAGAUCACUUUGAGGCUCUUUGACGGUAACUUUGUGUUUUGACUCGCGUCUGUGUUCACGGUCUGGUAAUUUUGUGUUUUGUAUGUUCUGCCCACAGACUGUAUAUAAGGAGGGGACAUCGGUUGGUCUUUGACGCAUCUAGUUUGACAUUGGGGUUUAGUCUUGUUUGAGCCAGAAGUUACCAUAUUUGGACAAGGUUGAGUCCAACGAGGCCCGGGAGGGCCAGAUCCUGUUAGCAGCUAAUGCUAUCGCUAGCUGGGUUAUCAAAAAGUAUCUGUAAAUUCACAUUAGCUAAACUUAGCAAUUCAAAUCUAAGUUAAGAAAAAACAGGCUUGUUUGAAGUGUGGUGUUAGAGAGUUAGAGAGCUGUCAAUCACAGUGCUUCAUGGUCUAUUAUACCCUAAUAAUUUACUAAGUGAACAUCAUGCUGCCUUGAAGACUUGGAACUAGAGAUUGAGACCAUAACCUCAUAUUUACAAUGCUUACCCAGGGAAUAAAUCAAGAGAAAAGUAGAGUCAUUUUCCCAUAGACUUCUAUGGUAAGAGAGGAGUCGCCCCUGGUGGUCACUUGAGAGAAUGCAGCUUUGAGACCCUUCAGCCCUGGCUUCACUCUUCAGACCCAGACAUGAAGCGUACGACUGAUCAGCCUCACUGUGACCUUUUGUCUUUGCUUGUUCAGACGACACAGACUCCCCCAGGAGAACAGUGGUGACUCCAAACUGUCCAGUGGGUUUUGUUCCUCUUAUUCUAUUCUUUCGCCUCCACAUUAAUCCCAUAAAUAUAUCCCAUCUCUUCAUAACUGCACAUAAAUCACUCUCCAUUUCUCCACUCUAUCGUUCUUACACAGCACCCUCCACGUGAACUCUCCGCUGGCAGGGGAUCCACUCAGGUGCCUCUCCAUGUGUGUGUGUGUGUGUGUGCGCAAAAGAAGCAUGUGUCUCGAGUGUGUUUAUGUGCUACAAUAGAGUCCUGUUUGUUUGCAGGGGGAAUCUGUGUGUGUGUGUGUGUGUGUAUGUGAGAGAGAGUCAGGUGUCGAGUUUACCCCCAGAUCGACCCAACCUGGGAAUGAUCUAGUCUCAGAGGGGGAAGCCAAAACUUCUCCACCAUGUAUGUGUGUGUGUGUGUGUGCGUCUAACCCAGAGAUGACUCACAAACCAUCUGGAGGCCAGAUGCAGGUUAGAAAACUACUCUCUCUCUACUCUGUCCCCUCCCUCCCUCCAGUUGCCAUUAGUUCCCUUAGUUAACCUGUGAACUUUGACCUGUGUGCUGUGCAUGUGUGUGAGUUCAUCCUGUGUGUGUCUGUGUGUGUCUUGUCCUGGUGUCCUGGUUAAGUCAACGACGGGGUUGUGACCUUUCUCAGCGGUUGCAAACUCUCCCUCGGUGACCCCCGGAGUUCAAGUUCACUAAUUGUCCCUCAUCCCAGUUAAACAGCCUCCAUCUUUCUCCCCCUUUGGCGGCUCCGCCUCCCUGUCACCUGGUACGUAGAUUAAGUCUGGGAAACAAGACAUUACUAAAAGGUCUUACAGGCCGGUCUCUGAGUUGUUUUCUAUUUAGUUCCAAUUGGCGUUUGUUAAAAAUGAGAUGUUUAAUUUGCCAGAAGAAAGACUCAGGACGUCCAAAAACAAGGAUUCAGAUAUCCGAAAUGAAUGCCAGGGAGUCCUCCCAGUACCUCCGGUUCACAUCUUACACGGCAUUAUGGGAGCAGCGGUUCCCCUGCGGAUGUACUCUGGGUAGUUAAAUCGAAAAGAAUGUGUCCCAUCGGUCCCCGGAGAGCAGAUGAUGACUCCGCAGACCUCAUGAGGACAACGUCUUACGCUUAACCGCAUAAGAACAAAGACGAUCCACCACAGCCCAUUCUUCUGGAGAUAAAACGGGCGUUUAUGUGCUGUCAUACGUUUCAAUACCGUCAAGACUUGAAAGUAAAUCAUCAAAAUAAUUGUGUGUGUGUUCGACUGACACCAGUAAACCAGUAAGAUGUAUCAUCAAUGUAACAAGACAACAGGAAUUCUGUCUAAUGCUCAGCCAAAUGUUCUAAAUUCGUCCCCUGAGAGGUCGAGUCUGUGCGCGGGCGGGACAACAUUGUUUUGAACACCAUCUUCGAAGUGUGAGCAUGUGGUGGACGCGUGAGGUUUGACAGGAGAUGACUGUAUCUCAGGUCCUGAUUGGACCUAAAGCUUUGGUUUUGGUAGGAGGGUGUUGAGGGGUUGCUGAAGGUCCGUUUUUAUAAGCUGUCGAGGCUCAAUCUGUGCAGGUGUGAGAAUGAAAGAAAGAGGCCAAACAAGGACUAGAUGGCAAACCGCCCUUCACUCCCACAGCAUUCCCAAAUUGGCCUCUAUAAACCCUUUGUUUUGGACACUUCCCUUCCUCAGCGCUCCACUGGAUGCUUUUAUUCUGAAGGGCCAUCAGAGGGGAAGCUAAACAGCUGGAUUGUGGAGUAGAAACAACCCCCCAAAAAGGGCCACAAACUACAUUCAGAUUCCAGCUGAGAUGAUCCCAGUUAGCUGCUGGUGGGAGGAGCUUUGCCUCUCCGCCACUGACCACGAGCCUAUCGGGUGGGAAACGAGACACAGGUUGGAUACCAGCUGAGAGAUCAGCAUAUCCAGAUGUUUUGGUAGAACAACAACCCCCAACAAUUAUUUUCCCUAGUUAUCUGAUGAACAUCUUUACUUUUACAACAUACAUUUGUCUCCUCAAAGUUUAGUGUUAUACUAAAUCACAUUAUCUGUUGUUCAAAUGUGAUUUCAUUAUAGUUUAUUAUACCACUGAAGAAUUUUAAUUUAAACCUGCUGACACACUAAAGAGGUUGUUGUAUUCCACUUGAAGUCUAGUUUUGAGGCUUUAAGCUGCAACUCAAACAGCAAAACAGUCUUUGAGAUAGAGUCCAAAUGUUUAAAGUCUAAAUCAAGUCUCUAGUCUUUGAUAAAGAGUCCAACUCAAAUGUCAAGCGUAAAGAGACAUCCCAUCAUAUGGAGGAGUGAAGGGAUUUCUUUACAAUAUCAAUAUCCAGGUUAAAUAUCCAUGGUCCUAACUGAGCAGCUGUCUUGUCAGAGGCCUCACUGGAGAACUGAUUUGGACAACAAGAGCGAAAUGUUGCAGGCGGACGUCGGCGCAAUCACAAAAAACUGCAGCACAACGUGGCCAAGAUGUCAAGAUGUCCGCCUCCAGCCACGAUGGUCCCGACCAAUCGUACGACUGUUCCUCAAUGCCGGGAUCCUCUCUCUCUCUCUCUCGCUCUCUCUCUCUCUCUGACAUUUCCAUGAACCAACUCUUGAUGUUCCUCAGAAGAACAGAGGAGAGGACGAGAGGACGGUUGAAAGACAGGGUUUGGGAAAAAGAAACAAUAGAAAUGUGCCGGGCAGAUGUCCCCCCCCCCACCCCCCUUCCCUUCUUUCCCAAUACUCCUGUUGAAACUGGGGUAAUAUCUCCGGUGUGUGCUGACACGUUUUGGGCAGUGACCAUUCAGGGGGAUUUUAACAGACAGAAACCCGAGUGGGCGCCCGCUACCGUGGGGGGGUGGAAAGACGACAGCAUGGAGUCCCGCCGGGAGAAGGACGUGUGACAGGAACCACCUUGUGAACUCAGCCUAAUUUGGGCAUUUUGUAGAACAUUUACUGCACACACGCAACAAAGAAAGGCCUCAGGAUGGAAAGGAGUUGUGUCAGAGCGUCCUGUAGGAACAAAGGAGAGUCGGGAAACAGACUGUAACUAUACGGCCGCCUGAAUGAAACACAUUCACUGAUGAUGUGUCCGAGUCAAGUUGGUGGUUUUUCCUCAGACCAAAAGUCAAAAGCUGCACGGAUCAAAUUCACAGUUAUCUAACAAAAGGGAACUUAACUGUAUUUACAGUGCGACAGUAAUGCAGCUGAAAUAACACCGGCUGGUGUCCAUCUUUUCCUUUGUGCUCUUCAGAUAGGAUUCUCCUCAUCAUGAAGGUCACACUUUGCACAACGCAGGCCUCACGCUCUUUGGCAGAAGCUCCCUGACCACCACGAAGGGGGAAAUACCAUUUCUGCUCAAAUGAAACACGAGUCCGGGCCAAGCGGCCGUCUUACUCUUUAAAAUCUCACUCCGGCUCGGUGGGGCCGAGCAGCGGAGCGACAUGAGAUUCUCAGAGAAUCGGUUCCGUUUCCCUGCGUUGGCUUCGGCUAACGAUGUUACCAAAGAAAACGUUUUGGACUUCCUGUACGGGAUCUAAUUUGGAAUAGAAAUGUAUUUUUUGUGUAUAUUCACCUGAUUUAAGGGCCUCUUUACGCAAUGCCAAGCCAGAACUCUCCUGGAUCUAGCUCCCUGUACUUCCCUAAAGUUCGCCAGCAUUUUCAGGACUUUGAACCACUUGCUCCUCAUUGUAUUACUCCAGUGUGUGAAUGAAGGACUCCGUCAUUUGUGAUAGACGCUCAGAAACAACAUAUUGAGAAAGAAAAGUUGAGCCAAACCUUUUGAUUUCCUGUUGUUGGGUACUUUCACGCUGAAAAUAUAUCAAAACGGUCUCAAAGCAGAAGCAAACGAACAUGUAGUUUCCUCCCGCUGCAUUGUGCGUCAACGUCCUACUACACUCUACGCUGUCAGAUCUGAUCCUUAAGGGACCAAAACUCCUGCCUCCCCAUUAGAAGGCGGUUUCCGCGCAAACACUGGUCCCUAAAACUUACCCGCUCUGGUUUCUGGGAUGUGCCAACGAAAUGAAAUUCUCCCUGAAACCCAAACAUUCAGUCCGCCGACUACAAAUGUGUCAAGGACGUGUUUGUUUGCAGAAAAUGUGUAAUUACACAGUUUCACAGUCCGUUUACUGUGGGACUCGAACACCUCUUCCGCCACCGAGCUCAAGAACUUUACUUCGCUCACUUUUACUUUCACGUAGGUGUUUAGAGAGGGAGCGAAUUAGAGGGAAUUAUGAAGAGGAGAAAGAAAUGGAAGACAGACAUGCAUUAGCACAUUGUUACUGCAGUGGCCAGUCAGUCUGGGAACCCGUAAUAACCCUUCAACACUAAUGACAAAACCACACACAUGCACGCGCGCACACAGUCUCGAGGUCUCUCCUCCGCCUAUGUAUCUCGUCUCUCUGUAGUCACUUCUACGUCCUCCCUCCUUCUCUAUGGCGCACACACACACACACACACACACACAAAUACAUGAGCGGUGUUGCUGUGUUGAUGGUAAUACCAGGGUUAUUGGGAGGGGAGAGAGUAAUUCCCUCUGACAGCCCCAUUAAGGGAUGAAAUACCACCACUACUAAAAAACGACUUGGGUUUCACUUGUGACGCCGCACCAGCCUACAUUCGAUUUUUCUGGGUUAUUUUGAGGGCAAUCUGGAGCGGCAAAAUGGCAUGAAAAACUAAAAUAAAAAUGAAUACGUCGGUGUUUGUCGCGUUCGGGACGCCCAAGUGUUCGCCCGCCAAUUCCUUUUGCCCGCGUAUUUCUCCGUCAGCAGGAAAUCUAUAUGGCACUGGUUGUUUUCACUCUGGCUCAAGAGUUGCUUAUAAAUCACGGAUGAAGAGUGGACCACCGGCUCCGACUCAAAAACACGGUGGACCGGAGAGUAAAUCAGGGUCAGGUGGGCUUCAAUAAGCAGCCUUAACAAUCGCCAUCCAUCAACCGGAUUUCUUUAUGAAAAUAAAAAGAGAAAUCUGAGAUGUUCCAGCUUAUAGGCUCGUCACUUUUGUUUUACACCACAAAUUAACCCAAAGUGUCUUUAUACAGGCCAGAUUUUUAAUAGUACAUGAUUGGACCUCGACCAUGUUGCUGACAUCUGUGUUAACAGAAUUUACCACUGUGGAUGUGGUGUGUGUAAACACUGCUAACCCACCAAUGACUCCAAACCAACAUAAGCAUUACCUAAAGGGAGAACAUUAGUUGGGUAUUUACAAGCAGAGGCAGAGGAACAUUGGCAUUUGCUUGAAGCUGUGUUCAAAGCUACUUGAUGAAUUUUAGUGGAACGCUCACUUUCCUUUUAGCUCUGGUUCGGUCUCCUCCAACGGAAAA